ACGUUUGACAGCACAUGAGUUGCUAACCUCCUCCUCCUCUUCCCCUAGGGACCUAUACUUGAACGCGUCGCGUGCCCAGUAACCUCUGUACAUGGCAUCAGCAAGCAUCUUGAGCUGUGCCAGCAUCCCAGAGUUGGUUGUUCUCGUGGCAUCUUAAUCUACCUCUCGUGACUCUCAUGGCUGCAAAUUAACUGAAUUCUUUCGCCUAUACAUGCUUGUUCGAUCGUGGCAGCGCGCCAUCGCUGCGGAGCCUCCAGGUGACGUGCAUCUUUGACAUGACGCGUGAUCGGAAGGAGAUGCUUACCGCGGCGAUGAAGAAGCUCCACCUGCGCUACUACGAAACACAACAUAUUGGUUGAGCAAGGGCAUCGGAUCGACUGGCCCACUCCGAACUUAUUCUCCUGCGGUCCAAUCUCCUCUCUCUCCCUUAUCUCCUCCCUCCCUCCCUUUUCUCUUCUCCCUGCCCGAUGCCCCCAAAUCCCCCCGGUCUCCUCCCGAACUCCCUUCUCUUCUCCCUGCCCGAAGCCCCCCAAUCCCCCCAAUCUCCUCCCGAACUCCCUUCUCUUCUCCCGAGCAGCAGCAGCAGUGGCCCGUAGCGCAUGGAGCAGCAGCAGCAGUGGCCCGUAGGGCAUGGAGGAGCAGCAGCAGUGGCCCGUAGCGCAUGGAGGAGCAGCAGCAGCGGGGCGCGCCGCCGAUAUUGUUGGUGUCAGGCUCGGGGAGGAAUUUUGGUGGCCGGCCACGACCAUCGCCGUGAGAUCCGGCCUCUUGCUUUUUUUGUGAUUUGUAAUCCGUGAUUUAUGGAUGUGAUUUGUAAUUCGUGCUUAUCUUUGAUUUGUGUAUCUGUGAUUUGCUUAUCUGUGAUUUGAAAAUAUUAGCAGGCUACGGCCUGUUUUUUUUUAAAUCA